AGGGAUCAUUACCGAGUUUACAACUCCCAAACCCAAUGUGAACCAUACCAAACUGUUGCCUCGGCGGGGUCACGCCCCGGGUGCGUCGCAGCCCCGGAACCAGGCGCCCGCCGGAGGGACCAACCAAACUCUUUUCUGUAGUCCCCUCGCGGACGUUAUUUCUUACAGCUCUGAGCAAAAAUUCAAAAUGAAUCAAAACUUUCAACAACGGAUCUCUUGGUUCUGGCAUCGAUGAAGAACGCAGCGAAAUGCGAUAAGUAAUGUGAAUUGCAGAAUUCAGUGAAUCAUCGAAUCUUUGAACGCACAUUGCGCCCGCCAGUAUUCUGGCGGGCAUGCCUGUCCGAGCGUCAUUUCAACCCUCGAACCCCUCCGGGGGGUCGGCGUUGGGGAUCGGGAACCCCUAAGACGGGAUCCCGGCCCCGAAAUACAGUGGCGGUCUCGCCGCAGCCUCUCCUGCGCAGUAGUUUGCACAACUCGCACCGGGAGCGCGGCGCGUCCACGUCCGUAAAACACCCAACUUCUGAAAUGUUGACCUCGGAUCAGGUAGGAAUACCCGCUGAGCUUAA
rnacentral:rRNA from 1 species